rnacentral:rRNA from 1 species
AACCUCCGCAAUGUGAGAAAUCGCGACGGGGGGAUCCCAAGUGCCAUUCUUAACGGGAUGGCUUUUCAUUAGUGUAAAGAGCUUUUGGAAUAAGAGCUGGGCAAGACCGGUGCCAGCCGCCGCGGUAACACCGGCAGCUCUAGUGGUAACAAUUUUUAUUGGGCCUAAAGCGUCCGUAGCCGGUUUAAUAAGUCUCUGGUGAAAUCCUGCAGCUUAACUGUGGGAAUUGCUGGAGAUACUAUUAGACUUGAGACCGGGAGAGGUUAGAGGUACUCCCAGGGUAGAGGUGAAAUUCCGUAAUCCUGGGAGGACCGCCUGUUGCGAAGGCGUCUAACUGGAACGGUUCUGACGGUGAGGGACGAAAGUUAGGGGCGCGAACCGGAUUAGAUACCCGGGUAGUCCUAACUGUAAACGAUGCGGACUUGGUGUUGGGGUGGCUUUGAGCUGCUUCAGUGCCGAAGGGAAGCUGUUAAGUCCGCCGCCUGGGAAGUACGGUCGCAAGACUGAAACUUAAAGGAAUU